UUUUAUAAUCACAGACUCCCAUCCUUUUCCCCUUGCAAUUUAAAAAAAUUGGGUCAUUUGUCUUAAGGAAAUUUUCAUAUUCUGGGUUUGCUCAUUGUAACCCUCUGAAAUCACUGGAUGUAUUUUUCUGUCUCCUGUAUUGUAAACCUUGUAGAUUUCAACACUUGGCCAGAUUCAGAUUUGAUAACUUUUUUUUUUUUUUUUUUUUUUUUUUUACAUAGUGUGAAAUUUGGAAGUCUGGGGACCCAGAUUAUGUGCUAUUCUAAACCGUUACUAGACUGCUGCCUCAUCCACUAGGAAAAGGAAGGCCUUCAGAAGUUAAAAGAAAUGCAGUUUACUGACUAAGCCCUUCUCUGCAACAGAAACAAAGAACCUUCCCUCUUAUCUGGGUUCAGAACUGGCAAGCAACCUCAAUGUAGGCACUUGAUAAAUAUUCACUGAUGAUGAAAAUGUUCACACUGCAAAGAAACCAUCCUGUUAUUUCAAGAACCCUUCUGAAAUGCCAGUGAUUGAAGCCGGAUCUUGACUCUCCUUUGCAAAUCCUGAACAAGAAAAGCCCAGUUCAGCUGGUCACGUGGAACAAAACAGAACAAGAACAGUGGAUUAAUCUCUUCUGG